GAUAAUUCGUUGAAGGAUGAAGUAUGCUGAAGUCCAUCUAAAGAGAGGGGUCCCCCAGGCUGAAAGGGACUGCCAGGUGAAGAGCAGCAGAAAGCUAGUCCUGAGAGCAGCUAAUACCUGCCGUUACGCCGCGUUAAGGCUUUUAUGAAGGUGAUGGGCCUGGGAUGAAUUCCUGCGUCCAUAAUCAGGGUGGUACCGCGAGUCAACUCUCGUCCCUGUU
rnacentral:ncRNA from 1 species